UAGAGACCACAGUGCUCAGUUGCUCACCACUAUAUCAGCUUCAACGUGCUAGAAGGAAGGAAUAAGGAGGAUGACCCGGAUGAGGAUAUGGAUGCCAAAAUCAACUGGGCUUUAGUCGUCGCAGGCAGAAAGAGAAGAUUGGGUUGAAAACAAGUGGUGGAACAGAUAGAGGUUCUGGGCGGUUGGUUGGGGAAAACGGUGGAGCUGCAGACGCCAAAAAUCUACGGGUGAAGGAUUAUGGUUUGUGCUGCUGCUGCUGCUUUGUUUGAAUUGGGUUGUUUUAGGAGAAUUGUCAAGAACUGAAAAAAGACUUUAAAUCUCUUGAAACGGAAGCUCAGCGAAUGCACCCUGUACAUAAAUAGGCUUCAAAGAUCUUUCUAUUUUAUUGCAUCCAGAGCACCAAAAUUGCAGCCAACCACACUGCAACUGCGAAGCAGUUUGGCCUUCGUCCUCUGCCAAAACCAAAGAGGUUUUGUCAAAAUGAUUCCCUUCUUGCCCCAGCGUCUCUAUACAACACUCAUUUCAUCGUUUAAACCAAGACCAUAGUUCCACAACUCACUUAAAUAGUAGACUAUCUACUUAUGGAGUCUUAUUAAUCAGAUUAUUCUUGGAGAGGCUUGAUCCAAAGGCUGGUUCCCAACCCAGAAAUCUCCCUAAAAUGAAGGUAAGCAAAGACACUACAAACUCGCAUCAAGUGCAUGCAAAGCAAGAUUAAAAACUGAACGACCAUCUUUAGAACAGUGUCAAUAGAAGAACAAUGGAGCCAUGCAGAUAUUUUUUGGCUUCCUACAUGGCAAUGCUUUGUGGUAAAAUCACAACAACCAUUUUUUGAUGAGACAAUGGUUUAUAUGAAGCAAUGAAGACCAUUUUUGCACCCAACAUUGCAAUCUUUUGUAAUGACAUGAAAUCCUCCAUUUUUUUUUAUGAUAUAAUGGUUUGUACCAAGGCUACAUGUGAAAUGCAACUCCUAAAACUAGAUUUGUACAAUGUAAACUAGCUUUUAAACAAUUUUGUUUAUUACACAUGUUUUUCGUUUAAUAUAAACACAUCUUGGUUUCAUAUAAA